rnacentral:misc_RNA from 1 species
AUUCAACAGGUUCGAGCACCAAUUCUACAAGGUCAAGUACAAUACUACCAAAGAGCACCAACACAAGCUAUUACUCAGUGUCAGGUUGUUGGAACUCCAAUGGUAACAAGGCCACCCAUGCAAAGCUUUGCACCUAAUAAUAUGCUCAUGGCUGUUGGGAGAUCAAAUCAGCAGGGAUAUCCUUUGUUGAACCAGGUACUACAAGGAC